ACCCUGAUCCAGCCAUGCCGCGUGUGUGAAGAAGGCCUUUUGGUUGUAAAGCACUUUAAGCGAGGAGGAGGCUACCUAGAUUAAUACUUUAGGAUAGUGGACGUUACUCGCAGAAUAAGCACCGGCUAACUCUGUGCCAGCAGCCGCGGUAAUACAGAGGGUGCGAGCGUUAAUCGGAUUUACUGGGCGUAAAGCGUGCGUAGGCGGCCAAUUAAGUCAAAUGUGAAAUCCCCGAGCUUAACUUGGGAAUUGCAUUCGAUACUGGUUGGCUAGAGUAUGGGAGAGGAUGGUAGAAUUCCAGGUGUAGCGGUGAAAUGCGUAGAGAUCUGGAGGAAUACCGAUGGCGAAGGCAGCCAUCUGGCCUAAUACUGACGCUGAGGUACGAAAGCAUGGGGAGCAAACAGGAUUAGAUACCCUGGUAGUCCAUGCCGUAAACGAUGUCUACUAGCCGUUGGGGCCCUUGAGGCUUUAGUGGCGCAGCUAACGCGAUAAGUAGACCGCCUGGGGAGUACGGUCGCAAGACUAAAACUCAAAUGAAUUGACGGGGGCCCGCACAAGCGGUGGAGCAUGUGGUUUAAUUCGAUGCAACGCGAAGAACCUUACCUGGCCUUGACAUACAGAGAACUUUCCAGAGAUGGAUUGGUGCCUUCGGGAACUCUGAUACAGGUGCUGCAUGGCUGUCGUCAGCUCGUGUCGUGAGAUGUUGGGUUAAGUCCCGCAACGAGCGCAACCCUUUUCCUUACUU
rnacentral:rRNA from 1 species